rnacentral:rRNA from 1 species
GAUGAACGCUGGCGGCGUGCCUAAUACAUGCAAGUCGAGCGAACGGACGAGAAGCUUGCUUCUCUGAUGUUAGCGGCGGACGGGUGAGUAACACGUGGAUAACCUACCUAUAAGACUGGGAUAACUUCGGGAAACCGUAGCUAAUACCGGAUAAUAUUUUGAACCGCAUGGUUCAAAAGUGAAAGACGGUCUUGCUGUCACUUAUAGAUGGAUCCGCGCUGCAUUAGCUAGUUGGUAAGGUAACGGCUUACCAAGGCAACGAUGCAUAGCCGACCUGAGAGGGUGAUCAGCCACACUGGAACUGAGACACGGUCCAGACUCCUACGGGAGGCAGCAGUAGGGAAUCUUCCACAAUGGGCGAAAGCCUGACGGAGCAACGCCGCGUGAGUGAUGAAGGUCUUCGGAUCGUAAAACUCUGUUAUUAGGGAAGAACAUAUGUGUAAGUAACUGUGCACAUCUUGACGGUACCUAAUCAGAAAGCCACGGCUAACUACGUG